ACUUGUACCGCGCGGCCGACGGGACCUUCACGCUCUGGAGCCACCUGCAGGCCUCCUGGGAGCCGGGCGCCACGUACACCUGCAGGGUGGCCCACACCACCAAGAGCCUCUCCCUCAGCAAGAGCCAGCCAGAGAUCAGCUCAGACAACGAGUACUUCAAUGAGAACACGCAUGAGCCCUUGUCCGUAGACAGCCCCGAGGACAUCUGGAACACGGCCUGUGCCUUCCUCAUCAUCUUCCUCAUCACCCUCCUCUACAGCAUCUCUGUGACAUUAGUGAUGAUGAAAUAACAAGAGGAUCACAUACCCUAUGCACCAACAUUUUCUAUGAUGAAAUGCUUCGUGUUUUUCGAACCAACUGUCACUAAAGUGAUAUUCAGUUGAAUCUCUUUUUCAUUGUAAUUUGCCCUUUAAUUUGCAGCUCUUCUCUUUAUUUGUCUAGCUCUGCUUUAAACUGCAGCCUUAAGCGUCUUUAAUCUUGUUCAGAGAAAACUAAUCAGGUAACGUGUGCGUCUGUCAGAGGAAUCAUGUCAAUCAAAUUCAACGAUCAUAUGCUAAAUUAUUUUGUGAGUGUUAACUUUAUU